rnacentral:rRNA from 1 species
AUUGAACGCUGGCGGCAUGCCUUACACAUGCAAGUCGAACGGUAACGGGCCUUCGGGUGCCGACGAGUGGCGAACGGGUGAGUAAUGUAUCGGAACGUACCUUUCAGUGGGGGAUAACGUAGCGAAAGUUACGCUAAUACCGCAUAUUCUGUGAGCAGGAAAGCAGGGGAUCGCAAGACCUUGCGCGGAUUGAGCGGCCGAUAUCAGAUUAGCUAGUUGGUGAGGUAAAAGCUCACCAAGGCGACGAUCUGUAGCGGGUCUGAGAGGAUGAUCCGCCACACUGGAACUGAGACACGGUCCAGAAUCCUACGGGAGGCAGCAGUGGGGAAUUUUGGACAAUGGGGGCAACCCUGAUCCAGCCAUGCCGCGUGAGUGAAGAAGGCCUUCGGGUUGUAAAGCUCUUUCGGCCGGGAAGAAAUCGUAUCAGCUAAUACCUGGUGCGGAUGACGGUGCCGGCAUAAGAAGCACCGGCUAACUACGUGCCAGCCGCCGCCGUAACAC